rnacentral:rRNA from 1 species
AACGAACGCUGGCGGCAUGCCUAACACAUGCAAGUCGAACGAGACCUUCGGGUCUAGUGGCGCACGGGUGCGUAACGCGUGGGAACCUGCCCUUAGGUUCGGAAUAACUCCCCGAAAGGGGUGCUAAUACCGGAUAAUGUCUUCGGACCAAAGAUUUAUCGCCUUUGGAUGGGCCCGCGUUGGAUUAGCUAGUUGGUAGGGUAAAAGCCUACCAAGGCGACGAUCCAUAGCUGGUCUGAGAGGAUGAUCAGCCACACUGGGACUGAGACACGGCCCAGACCCCCGCGGGAGGGCGGAGUGGGAAAUUUUGGAAAAGGGGCGAAGGCCUGACCCAGCAAUGCCGGGUGAGGGAUGAAGGCCUUAGGUUUGAAAAGCUCUUUUACCCGGGAUGAAAAUGACAGUACCGGGAGAAUAAGCCCCGGCUAACCCCGU